UAUUCUCAAUCCCUUCGGCUUUGCGGCCGUCGGGUUUGGAUUUGGAGGCUUGUGCUGGCCCCUCGCGGUCGGCUCCUCUUGAAUGCAUUAGCUGGGCUUAUGCUCGAUGCAACGGUGUAAUAGUGUCUUUUCACCGGGGUAACUUGCAAUUGAAAGUCCGCUUCUAAUCGUCUCGCAUGAGACAUUAUAAAGGGAUUGAUUUCUCUUUGACAC
rnacentral:misc_RNA from 1 species